GAGUAAUAGGGGCUCGAUAUGGUCAAUAAUUUGGGGCAUUUCUGUGUGUGGCCCGUGGUUAACUUUGGAGAAUGGGAUUCUAUCUGGUUUUCUCCGGGAUUUGGAUAUCUCAGCGAGUUACAAGGAGGAUCGAGUUACAAGGAGGAUCGAUUUUCCGAUGCCCACUGGCUCGGCAGGCGUGGGCUUUAGCUCAGGUUCCUAAAGCACAUGUUUUUGAGAAUGUGAUGGAAAAUCCACUGGAUGUAGUUCCGUUGGCGGAGGGGGAGGGCUCAGGUGGAGGUGGAGGAUGAGGAUCAACCCCACACUCCACUUGUCCCCUCUACUAGACAAAGGGGGUCCACCCCUUUUCUUCCUACCUCUUUUACAUGAUAUCGGUGUUUUGUUGAUGGCUCUUGGAAAACGACAAAUGCUCUUGCAAGUGCAUGUUGGUUUUGUUCUUCCACUGAAGAUUCAAGGUCAGAUAUGGGAGCUACCAAUUUCCGACGAAGUUUGUCUUCACUCAAUGCUGAAGUAGAAGCUCUCAUUUGGGCGAUGCGUUGCAUGAUUGGACAUGAUUACCGGAACGUGGUUUUUUAUACGAACUGUUCUGAUUUGGUGAAGAUGGUGUCUUCUCCUCAUGAAUGGCCGACUUUCACACCCUACCUCGACGACAUCAAGAUAGAUCAAACGGAGUUCUCUUCCUUCUCUCUAUCUUUGGUUCUACGUAAUGCAAAUGUCAAAGCAGAUUCUCUGGCACGCUAAGCUGUCACCGUAGCAUGUUUUGUUUGUGAACUCUUUUCCUCCAAAUUGGCUCUUUUAAGCUGAUUUUAUUGUUGUAAAAAAAAAAAGCAUAACGCCGAAAAUAUAUAAUAUAAUAUUGUUUGUUAUUGAUU